GGAGAGGUGACCGAGUGGCUUAAGGUAACGGUUUGCUAAACCGUCGUGGGGGUAUACGCCCCCACCGCGGGUUCGAAUCCCGCCCUCUCCG
rfam:Phycisphaerae bacterium SM1_79 WOR1_30_36_5574, whole genome shotgun sequence.